rnacentral:misc_RNA from 1 species
AAAGUCGUAACAAGGUUUCCGUAGGUGAACCUGCGGAAGGAUCAUUCACAAUAAGUGUUUAUGGCACUUUCAAAUCCAUACCCACCUUGUGUGCAUUGUAAAGGCCCUUCCUUUCAACUCGCUCUCUCUCUCCUUUGGGAGGAGGGAAGAAGGAGGAAGACUGGGCUUCAUUUUCUCACACGUCUUCAAUUGCAAGUCUAACAUUCAGAGUAAUCAAAACUCGAAUACAACUUUCAACAACGGAUCUCUUGGCUCUC